AUUCAAAUUAAAAAUCAACUAAAAUUUCAUGAAGAUAUUCUCAAAUUAUAUUAAUUAACAAAAUUCUUCAAAUAUGUACAUCAACAUAUGAUUACAUAAAUUUACUAAUUUACAUGAGUUCAUAAUUUACAAAUCACAAACUACUACCUAUUACAAAAUGUAAAAACAUAAUUUCAAAAGGGACCUAAAAGUCCUACUACUGAUGCACUGUAGAUGAAAGGUGACUCUGACGCUAGGCAGAUCUGUGACCUCACCCAGUCUGUGGUCUGCUGGGCUCUUUGUCUGUCUCUCCAGAACCAUUUCUUUAUGCAGUUCCGGCUAUCAACCUUUCCCGUUGAUCAAAUUUUUUUGACCUUUACAAUGCCAAA
rnacentral:misc_RNA from 1 species